rnacentral:sRNA from 1 species
CGUUCACCAGCAAGGAGCCGCAGCGGGGUAUGGGCAGCAUGCCCAAGCGGGGCCUGGAGGUUCUACAAACUGCAUGAGCGCAAGUGUGAGCCCAUCGUCAUGACUGUGCCAAGAAAGUCGGACCUCUUCCAGGAUGAUCUGUACCCCGACACAGCCGGGCCCGAGGCAGCCCUGGAGGCUGAGGAGUGGGUGAGCGGGCGGGAUGCCGACCCGAUCCUCAUCUCACUGAGGGAGGCCUACGUGCCCAGCAAGCAGCGGGACCUGAAGAUCAGCCGGCGCAACGUGUUGUCUGACAGCCGGCCCGCCAUGGCCCCGGGCUCCUCCCACCUAGGGGCCCCCGCCUCCACCACCACUGCUGCUGAUGCCACCCCCAGCGGCAGCCUGGCCAGAGCCGGGGAGGCUGGGAAGCUGGAGGAGGUGAUGCAGGAGCUGCGGGCCCUGAGGGCGCUGGUCAAGGAGCAGGGCGACCGCAUCUGUCGCCUGGAGGAGCAGCUGGGCCGCAUGGAGAACGGGGAUGCGUAGGGCCACAGCCACACGCCACCUUCAUCUCCUCCUCCGCCCCCUUCCCACUCAGCUUCUGCCAGUGGGUCGCACUGGGCUAGCUGGCUGCCCAGA